rnacentral:rRNA from 1 species
UACGUAGGGUGCAAGCGUUAAUCGGAAUUACUGGGCGUAAAGCGUGCGUAGACGGUUAUGUAAGUCGGGUGUGAAAGCCCCGGGCUCAACCUGGGAAUUGCAUUCGAGACUGCGUAGCUAGGGUGCGGAAGAGGGAAGCGGAAUUUCCGGUGUAGCGGUGAAAUGCGUAGAUAUCGGAAGGAACACCAGUGGCGAAAGCGGCUUCCUGGUCCAGCACCGACGUUCAGGCACGAAAGCGUGGGGAGCAAACAGG